rnacentral:rRNA from 1 species
GAUGAACGCUGGCGGCGUGCCUAAUACAUGCAAGUCGAGCGAACAGACGAGGAGCUUGCUCCUCUGACGUUAGCGGCGGACGGGUGAGUAACACGUGGAUAACCUACCUAUAAGACUGGGAUAACUUCGGGAAACCGGAGCUAAUACCGGAUAAUAUAUUGAACCGCAUGGUUCAAUAGUGAAAGACAGUUUUGCUGUCACUUAUAGAUGGAUCCGCGCCGCAUUAGCUAGUUGGUAAGGUAACGGCUUACCAAGGCAACGAUGCGUAGCCGACCUGAGAGGGUGAUCGGCCACACUGGAACUGAGACACGGUCCAGACUCCUACGGGAGGCAGCAGUAGGGAAUCUGCCGCAAUGGGCGAAAGCCUGACGGAGCAACGCCGCGUGAGUGAUGAAGGUCUUCGGAUCGUAAAACUCUGUUAUUAGGGAAGAACAAAUGUGUAAGUAACUAUGCACGUCUUGACGGUACCUAAUCAGAAAGCCACGGCUAACUACGUG